rnacentral:rRNA from 1 species
AUUCCAGCUCCAAUAGCGUAUAUUAAAGUUGUUGCAGUUAAAAAGCUCGUAGUUGGACUUCUGGGUUGUGAUUGUGGUCCGCCUAACGGUGUGCACUGUGGUUGCGACUCUUCUUCCCGUAGUUUGGGGGUGCACUUAGUUGUGUGCUUUUGGAAUAUGGGACCUUUACUUUGAAAAAAUUAGAGUGUUCAAAGCAGGCCUUCGCUUGAAUACAUUAGCAUGGAAUAAUAGAAUAGGACUUUGGUUCUAUUUUGUUGGUUUGCAGACCGAAGUAAUGAUUAAUAGGGAUAGUUGGGGGUAUUUAUAUUCCGAUGUCAGAGGUGAAAUUCUUAGAUUUUCGGAAGAUAAACUUAUGCGAAAGCAUUUACCAAGGAUGUUUUCAUUA